rnacentral:lncRNA from 1 species
GCCCCAUUUAAUCCCACUUCAAUCCUCUGUUUGGUUCAGGGUAUUGGCUAAUACCCGUCUAUUACAUUACACCCCUAAUCCCCAAAAUCCACCGAUUUCUAUUACGUUCCUCUUUCUCAGAUUAGGUGCUGCUUGAGUUUUAGACCCUGUUUUACCCUCCUGCUUCCCCUUUCCGUCUUCUGUUUCUUCCUUCUAUCUUUCUUUUGCUGAAGAUUACAAUAGAAUCGACGCUUGGCCUUCUCAACCUUUUAUUUUCGGAGUUUACUGCAACUGGAAAGGUAAAUCAUAUUUCUAACUCUUUUUUGCUCUCAAAUUUAUAUGGAUUCCUGUAUUUUAAUUAGCUUAAGUUCCGAGUAGAUUUCUAUUUCUUAAAGGUUUUUGUUGCUGGUGGAAAUUGGAACUCGAUUGCAAUGUAAAUUGUCUCGUUUUCUCUGUUUUAAUUAGCAAUGUAAAUUGCUUCAAAACCCAAGACUGAAAAACCAGCUACUCCUCGAACUACCACUCGACCCUCUGGGAUUUUUAAACUUACCCCUGUUUCUCCUACUUUGGCUCGAUUCCUUGGAGCCCUAGAGGCUUCCCGUUCCGAUGCUGUUAAGCAUAUCUGGAGCUAUAUCAAAUCCCAUAACCUUCAGGUUCUCUCCAUCUCUAUUGCGUCCUAUAUAAAGUUAUAUUGUUUGGUCUAAAUAAAUGUGGGCUUCAGUAAAUAUCUGGGAAAAUGUUGUUCAAUUUUGGUAGUUAAUUUGUACCAUUUAUUAAUGGUUCUUGUUGCGAGUUGUUUGCUUGAUGGCUUUAUGAGGUUUCUUUACCCUUUCCAUGGGCAUUUGUUCCCUCUAUAAUAUUUUUUUUGUGCUUGUUAAUGCUGGGGUUUGGACCUGUUUGGUGUUUAUUGUUCAAGAGUAGUUAAGCUAGCAGCUGUAGUAGGAUUAGUUCAUUAGGUAAAUAGUUCUCUGUGAUUGGAUUCAAUAAUUCAAUUAUAUCAUCAAUCAGUUCCGAGUGAAAUGUUUGCCGGAUUCUGUUUGUUCUAAAUUCAUUCCACAUUAUGUAUGUUUGAUCUAAAUUGUUAACCACUAUGGUCAAUAAUUGAUAAACAGGUUUUUUGUGAAGAAUUUGAACAGAGUUGUGUAUGCUUUUCAUUGCAGUUUCCUUUGUGGUAUUUGAGACUAGAUUGUUUUCACAUGAGCUAUUGGCAAUUUCGACUACACAGUCCGAUCUUAUCGCCUCACUCGUUAGUUUAUUUACUUG